rnacentral:lncRNA from 1 species
CACCAUUAGGACAAAUGUCAACAUAGUUGUUCCAGAUAAGCCAUGAGAUUAAAAGUCAUUCCACACUUUGACUAUUUUAGGACAUAGGUUUAUUGCCAAGUUUUCACAUAAAUACAAGCACAGUAACAAGCCCAACCAUGCUUGUAGCUUCAUCCAUUUAUAAAGUGUUACAUAUACACCUACGAAUUAUGGAUUAGAGUUUGUAUCUGUGGAAAAAUCUUUGUAACAAGCUACUAUAGUGCUCAAAAGAACCACUGCAAGCACUUCUUUUCACCUGGUUGAUACUCAGUAAUGUCAACUGUAUGGUCUCUAAAUUUUCUUAACAAGUCCUUCUGAAAUACCUCAGGUUUUCAAUUUUUAGUUUGAAGCUUGACAGUUUUGCUUUGUGGAACACCAAAAAUCUGCAUUUAAAAUAUUCAGUAGCAUUCAAAACAAUCCAAUACUCACUGGAAUGACUCCUUUCAAAAUGACUCCACAACAUAGCUGGUGCCAAAACUACUCAAAGUUAGUGUGUUGCAAAAGACAUGCCAAGUCAAAUGAUCUCUAAAGGCAGUACACAUUUCACUUUAUAAAAGUUUCUUGACCAAUUCUUCCAUGUUAGUUUUAUAUAACACCUUAAAACACAAAUGAGAUUAGUAGAACAAUCAUCCUCCUAAAAUAAAUUCUAAAAUAGGAAUUUUAUAAUUUGGAACUUUGGAGAAAUGUUUAAAACAUUAUGCCAAUAUGUUUAUCCUUUAUCCUUAUGUACAAAGCUACAAGAGUUAAAAUGCAUGACACACUGCAUGGAUUAUGGAAGGCACAACCUAGAAAGAGUUAAUUCAUAAACAUAUACUCCAUACCUUAACUACAUUAAAAAAAAAUCCAAACUGUACAGCAGUAUUUAGCAUAGUGACAGUAUUGUCAUCGAGAAUCACGUGCCUCUGCUUGCUUCUGAGAAUGUAAAAGGCAACAUCUUGGGAUUAGGAAAAUGUGUUGAUCUCGAAGACCUGAUUCUGCUUAGGUGGCAGGGAUACAGCCUUAAACUGUCCCAUCCUUAAGGAACAAUCUAAGGAGGAAAAACAAUAAUCACACAAUUAUCAUUCUUAAUUAGAUUUUAAGAGCCACAACAUUCAAGUAGGACCAAAUGUGGAUAGGUUCCUUGAGAUGUUCUGAAACCACUUCAACACUUGGUCAACUUUUUAAAUUUUUUCCCUCAGAGAAGCCCAGUAGUCUAGUAGUUACUGUUUUCAAGUUUCUGUAAGUCCAUCGCCACCUUAUAGUAUACUGUAUCUAGAUUUCCUAAAACAUUUCAAUCAAAGCAAGGUAGUAAAAAUCUGAUAGGAACACCAAAAGCUAGACCAAUUUCUAUCCUUGGCCCCUAUCUGCUAGCAUAUCCACUGGAAGUUGCUAAGUCUCACAGAGCUUUAGUUUCCUCUACUGUACACAGGCUGGUACCAAGACCUGUUAUGGUGAGUAGUACUUCAUUUGGGAUUUUAGUGAAGGGUAAAUAAAGACCAUCAAGUCUGAGUGAAUUAAAAAUUCCCCCAGUAGAGGUAGGAUUAAUUAGGUAACAAAAUAAUUUUAUAAAUAUACCUGAAAAAUGUUACUGUUGCCAAAAGGAAGACCCAAACUUAAAACUUUCUUUAAAUAAACUAACACCUAGAAAACAAAGGGUGAAAAAAUAUCAGGUCAAAAUAAAAGGGCCAGUGAUUACUAUGAAAAGUAGGAAAAAUGAGUUUAGGACAUCAGAGAAACACAACUCCAAUUCAAGCCUAAAGACCACAUAAUGCUUACUAAUCCACUCAAGAAUGGAGUCAUGAGUAUCUUCUGGAUAAGUACCCCCUUCAACAUAUAAACUGGAACACACUAUACCAUACUACACUACACAAAACCAAGGUCUCAACUUUCAAGGUCAAAUGAUUGACUCCUAGAGUUGUGACCAGCAAAGUGUUGUAUAGUUAGGGGUCUCACCAGUCAAACUAGUCUUUUUCUUGGGAUGUUCAACUUCAAACCACAAUUAUACAGUUACACCAAAUAUAAGACGUGUAAAAAAAGGCUAGCUCAAAAUUGGAAAAUUAAAAAUAAAACCCACAAACCCUCACCUAACUUGAACAUUAAGCACAAAUGUUUAACAUAUACAGCAAGUAAGUAUAUGAAAUCAUAAGGCACUACCUGACAAGGAACUAAGUUUACCUAAACCACCAGCCCAAGGCAUGCCUAAUACAAGAACAGGAUAGCUGCAGUGGAUACUUCGGGGAAACCCAAAGAAGUGCUUGUUAGUACAGGCAGGGAGGCCUCAGCUUCCUCCAUGAAAAAAAGUAUUAAGACACCUCAGUUAAGUAUUGGAUUCCUGCACAAUAGGAGCUUUGUCCUAUAGUUCAUGGACUUUUAUCAAUUUAACAAAUCAUAAAUCCACAUUUGUUUGGUUCCCAACUCUGCUUACUCACUGAAAAACUCCCCAUGUCCUUGAAGAAUGCAAUUUGAUGGGAGAAACAUAGUAUUAGAUAAAAGUUGAAGGAAACAUGAGGGUGUGAAAUUCAACUCUGACUGUAGUUUCUUAGUUGCUUUCUGCCUUGUUUUUUGAGAUCUCACCAGUGAAGAGCCUGCCAAGUAACUAAGCUUUUGUGUCCAGUAGGUCCUAGGGAUACCUCAGGCAUGCCCUAACAUGCCCAUUUUGUUUUGUUUUGUUUUUUUAAUGCGGGCUGCUUACAAUACAAACACUUUACUAAUUACCAUUCAAGCCUCCUUAAUAUUCCCUUUAAAAGAAUCUGACCUGCAUUUUGCUUUUCCUUUUCACUCAAGGUUAUUUUUUUUUAAGGCGAAUUUCUUUUAUUGUCUGCAUAACAAGAUCAGCUUAGAACUGGAACACUUGGCCCUUUCUCUUAUUACCUCCUAGUUCAAAAUGCUUGUAUUUCUUAAUAGCCAGCAUCCUCUUAGAUCUGCAGUUGGGCUCAACACACUCAAGCCUGAGCACAAUCUUCUUUGUAGUUCUAGCCUUUUUUCAGAAAAUUGACUUACAAGUCUGCCCACCACAGCCACUCUGUUUCCUGUCAUAACACCGAUUUCUCUGGACAUACAAAGAGUCCUUGCCCUUCUUGUACUGUGUCACUUUAUGGGGCUGGUACUUGCCACAUAUCUUUCAGAACGUCUGGUGGGUCUUAGGAAUGUUCACCAUGUUAGCAGGAGCCAUAUUGGCACAGAAAGCUUUUGGUUGUUUUUUUAAGAGGGAAGAAAAAACAGCUCAGGCCAGGGACACACUGGUUACUUUUAACCCCAGCGCUCAGGAGGCAAAAGCAGGCAGAAUUCUUUAAGUUUAAGGCUAGUCUAAUCUAUAAAUACUGAGUUGUAGGCCAGCCAGAGAUAAAUAUUGUGUGAGACUCUGUGUCUCAGGAAAGCCUUUAAAGCUAUCAUUUUUAUAUUUACAGUAAGCAAAUAAACAUGAAAGGACAGAAUUUUAAUAUGGCCUUGACUGCCCAGAAUUUAAAUGUGGGCAUGAGAUUAGGAAAUCUGAAUCAAACAGCAAGGCAACAGUCUACUAACAGUCACACCAAAGUCCAGAUCCCUGUCCUAAACAUAUCACACAUACUUAAAGAAAUGUUAAAUAGAAAACAAAGCCUUAAGUCUUUUAGAGGACAGGGGCUCAUUUAAUAAUAGUCCCACCUCAGUCCUCAUGACACUACUUAUAAUACACUCCCCAUCUUUUAGUUUUUUUUUUUUUUUUUUUAAGGUCAAUUUUAAAGUUUGAAAGAAUUCCCAACCCCACCCUCAGAAGCCAGGCUGCAAAUCUCAGCAGCUGCCCUUAGAAGGUAAAAAGCCAUGCCAUUUAAACCAGCAUGGAAAGUCAGUCAUAUGGCAGACAAGAAGCAACAUGGUAGAAAGGAGGCUUUAAAGAAAGAGUAAGGAAGCCCAAAGUCUGUCUCUGAUUCAGACAGACACACACACAGGUUGACCAGUAGCAGAGACAGCCAAAUCCCAUGGUGGUUCCUAGGGACUGGCUCAAUUAUGAUUUAAUGAAAUCUUAGCUUCCUUAAUUUUGUUUUUUGAAAGGGUUUUUCUGUGUAGCUCUGGUUGUCUUGGAACUCACUCUGCAGACCAAGCUGGCCUCGAACUCAGAACCACCUGCCGCUGCCUCUUGAGUUCUGGCAUCAAAGGCAAACAGUAACACUGCCCAGCUAAACUAUGGCUCUAAGUUUCUGAAAUCCUCAUUAAUCGGUACUUGCUUUCCUAUUAAGAAAUGGUUUGUAGGUUUAGCUUUCAGCUUAGUAUAGAUGAAGCACAAAACCAAAAAUCUUUAUUUCUUGAUUGCUUAAAGUUCAAUUUAGUCUUCUGUACCCCACAAGUUUGCUGCUAUGGUUCCCCUGUCCACAGUUACACUCCAAAUAAAAAUUGGUAACAAGCGGGGCAUUGGUGGCACAUGUCUUUACUCCCAGCACUUGGGAGCCAGAGGCAGGUGGGUUUCCGUCAGUUCGAGGCCAGCCUGGUACAAAAACUAGUGCCAGGACAACCUCCAAAGCAAUACAGAGAAAGGCUGUCUCAGAAAAACAAACAAACAAAAAAAAGGUAACAUUGUCAGUGCUUAAAGAGUCAUUUGAUUAUUGGCUACUGUACUGGAACAACACAAAUACUGCCUAUCCACGUCACUGCAGUAACUUCUCCUGGACAGUAAUCUUAUAGAGCACACACACAACAUCGAACCUAAAACCAAGUUUAAAAAGUAUUUAUGUUGCUCACUACAUUUUACUUGUAUAUUGCUACAAAUCAAGCAAUAUAAUAGGGAAUUAGAACAGGACUCAGUAAGACGGUUCGGAAGCAGCUCAGCAAAACCACAUUUGAACCAGCAAUAACCUGAGUGACAUGAAUCAAGCCAGAGGCCCAGGAGAAAGCACUGCUUAAAUAGGAAAAUACAGGCUCACAGGACCUUAGGCCAGGAGAGACAACAUCCGACCUAAACAACCUGCAUUCCAAAAGGAACCACCUUCUACAGAUAUGUACAGUGACAACAUGUGAGCAAGCAGUAAUCAAUUCCAUGUGACUUAAGAGAUAAUUGUGUACGUAGAAAAUAAUGAAAUGAAAAAGUUGUCAUUAGCCCAUUAAGUCUUCUGCAUUGUACUAAAGUAUUAAAGAGUCAGUAAAUUUCAUGUCAAUUCGUGUACCUUUUAAUACAAUCAGCCUGACAAUAUGUUAAGACACAUCAGGUGAUAUUGGAGGAGGAGAUACCCAUCUGGAAGCCAUUAAUAAGAAACAGCUCUGUCUAUUAAUGGUGAAAAAGGAGACAGGCAUUCAUGGGAGUGAAAAGCAGCUCAACUUUAGAUCUAUUGCAGCAGAGCUCCCGAAGGGGAUAGAAAAUGAAAAUCAAGGCAAACAGUCAACAAAAUGUACUAAGGAGGCAUAAAAGAACUGCAGGGUAAGGCCCCAGCUACAGCCUCAAUUUGUGGUGUAACUAAUCUGUCUGGUUUCAUGACUCAUCAGGCUUCUAAGAUCAUGAGGGGAAGAAUGCCAGUGCUCUGUCUAGGGAUUGGGUGAGCCAGUACUAACAAAUGAAAAGGGGACUCAAAUGAGAGUGCUAAAAUAUCUUUUGGUAGGGCUGCAGAGGGAGCAGGAGGGAAAGAGUGAAGUGCAGGGCCCUGUAGAAAACACUAAAAUUCUGUUUAUGUAUUCUAACUUGCGACACUAUAAUUUCAUGAUAUAGCAAGGAUCUCAAGCGUGAGCAUAAAACUCGGUUCAAUUCCCCUGCAGGACAACGCCCACGCACCAGGUUAGCCCUCAAGCCUGCCCAGAAGACUCCCGCCCAUCUCCCAGAAAGCCUCGACUUGCAGAUCACGAGGGGAAAGGGGGAAGGGAUCCUUCCAGUCCCGGGGCGGUCUUUAGAAGACAGGAGGCAGCAGAGAACUCCCAGAAAGGUAUUGCGGCACUCCCCUCCCCCAGCCGAGUAGGGUGCGGCCUUCUCCCCGCCUACUCCACUGCGGCUCCCUUAUUGACUGCUGCUCCCAGCCUCCAAACCGGCCCGGCUGAGCCCCCACUUCCUUCCUCCACUCCCAAGAGUGCGCGAGGCAGGCCCGGCUCAUCUUGCCCCUCGUGAGGCAACAACUCUAGAAGAAACCGCGCUCGC